rnacentral:rRNA from 1 species
GACGAACGCUGGCGGCGUGCUUAACACAUGCAAGUCGAACGGUAAGGCCCUUCGGGGUACACGAGUGGCGAACGGGUGAGUAACACGUGGGUGAUCUGCCCUGCACUUCGGGAUAAGCCUGGGAGACUGGGUCUAAUACCGGAUAGGACCACUGCCUGCAUGGGUGGUGGUGGAAAGCUUUUGCGGUGUGGGAUGGGCCCGCGGCCUAGCAGCUUGUUGGUGGGGUGAUGGCCUGCCAAGGCGACGACGGGGAGCCGGCGUGGGAGGGGGCACGGCCAGACUGAGGCUGAUAUACGGACCAGACUCAUACGGGAGGAAGCAGGGGGAAAUAUUGCCCAAUGGGCGCAAGCCUGAUGCAGCGACGCCGCGUGAGGGAUGACGGCCUUCGGGUUGUAAACCUCUUUCAGCACCGACGAAGCGCAAGUGACGGUAGGUGCAGAAGAAGGACCGGCCAACUACGUGCCAGCCGCCGCCGUAA